rnacentral:rRNA from 1 species
AACGCGAAGAACCUUACCCAGGCUUGACAUCCUGAGAAUUAAUCUGAAAGGAUUGAGUGCCCCAUUGGAUUGAAGAAGUAUAUGACUUCGUCAGUCUGAUGGGGAACUCAGUGACAGGUGUUGCAUGGCCGUCGUCAGCUCGUGUCGUGAGAUGUUUGGUUAAGUCCAUCAACGAGCGCAACCCUUAUAGUUAGUUGUAUUUCUCUAGCUAGACUGCCCUGGUAACAGGGAGGAAGGAGGGGAUGAGGUCAGGUCUGUAUUACCCUUACGCCUGGGGCUACAAACACGCUACAAUGGCCGGUACAAAGGGCAGCCAAGUCGCAAGACGGAGCAAAUCCCGCCAAAGCCGGUCCCAGUUCGGAUUGCAGGCUGAAACUCGCCUGCAUGAAGUCGGAAUCGCUAGUAACGGUAGGUCAGCACACUACCGUGAAUACGUUCCCGGGCCUUGUACACACGAGACGAC